rnacentral:rRNA from 1 species
GAUGAACGCUAGCUACAGGCUUAACACAUGCAAGUCGAGGGGCAUCAGGAAGAAAGCUUGCUUUCUUUGCUGGCGACCGGCGCACGGGUGAGUAACACGUAUCCAACCUGCCCUUUACUCGGGGAUAGCCUUUCGAAAGAAAGAUUAAUACCCGAUAGCAUAAUGAUUCCGCAUGGUUUCAUUAUUAAAGGAUUCCGGUAAAGGAUGGGGAUGCGUUCCAUUAGGUUGUUGGUGAGGUAACGGCUCACCAAGCCUUCGAUGGAUAGGGGUUCUGAGAGGAAGGUCCCCCACAUUGGAACUGAGACACGGUCCAAACUCCUACGGGAGGCAGCAGUGAGGAAUAUUGGUCAAUGGGCGCUAGCCUGAACCAGCCAAGUAGCGUGAAGGAUGAAGGCUCUAUGGGUCGUAAACUUCUUUUAUAUAAGAAUAAAGUGCAGUAUGUAUACUGUUUUGUAUGUAUUAUAUGAAUAAGGAUCGGCUAACUCCGUGCCAGCAGCCGCGGUAAUACGGAGGAUCCGAGCGUUAUCCGGAUUUAUUGGGUUUAAAGGGAGCGUAGGUGGACUGGUAAGUCAGUUGUGAAAGUUUGCGGCUCAACCGUAAAAUUGCAGUUGAUACUGUCAGUCU